rnacentral:tRNA from 1 species
CAGGGAGACAACAAAAUGUUUAAUAUUAUUAUUUUGUCACCUUAAGUCGAUCGGUAUCUCACGUUCUUAAUUUAUUAAGAAUUUCAUUUCCUAAGUUUUUCUAGGUCACACCCAUUAUUUUUCCUGGGCCAUUAGCUCAGGUGGUUAGAGCGCACCCCUGAUAAGGGUGAGGUCCCUGGUUCAAGUCCAGGAUGGCCCAUAUCUCUAUGUUGGGGGUAUAGCUCAGUUGGUAGAGCGCCUGCUUUGCAAGCAGGAUGUCAGCGGUUCGAGUCCGCUUACCUCCACUGAUUACCACCUCUUCCAUAACCGGUAGAAAGGAAUUGUUUUGAGUUGUGAUCAUUAUUCUGAACGAAUCUAGCUUCCUAAUGAAAUCAUUAAGAUGCUGGACUCAUUGAAUUAAUUUCAUUGUUUUCAGAGAACCUUGACAACUGCAUAGAUUUUUUUAAAGACAAUAAGCAUCUUUAAUGAUGCAGAUUUAUUAUUUGUGCGAAUGCAUUAAUAACAAUUCUAUUAAGCUGAUGCUUCAAUUUUGAAGUUAUU